rnacentral:misc_RNA from 1 species
AACAUCGCGCACCUGCGGGAACCUGCGGAAGGAUCAUUACCGAGUUAUACAACUCAUCAACCCCUGUGAACUUACCUACAACGUUGCUUCGGCGGGAACAGACGGCCCCGUAAAACGGGCCGCCCCCGCCAGAGGACCCCUAACUCUGUUUUUAUAAUGUUUUUCUGAGUAAACAAGCAAAUAAAUUAAAACUUUCAACAACGGAUCU